CUGCGACGUUUUAUGAUCCGUUACAGUAAAAACGCUCGACUGCCCAGGCUGUUAAACGUAGCGCAUUAGUAGCAAAAUUACCGUGCGCUGGCACAAUAGUUCUGACAAUUUAGAUAAUGCAAAUUAUCGUCGCUUUAACUCUCUGUGCGUUCCUCGGUCCGCCAGUUGUCGCGGAUACAUGCGAGGAACUUAAGGCACAAUGUGCCGAGCUGCGCCGCGAUGACGACGGCUUCAUCGGUCGCAUGCUUCCCCCUACUGCCAACCCCACCUUGUGGCCAGUAACUGAGGCAGAUCUGCAGCAAUAUCGACCGUUUGGCGAUGCCUAUUGUCGGCGGGGCGUCAACUUGGGAAACUGCAUAAAAAAGCUGUACUCCCACUGCCCCGAGGUCUACAACAGCGAGAAAAGUGAUUAUGGUGGAUGGUACAGACCGGAAUUUCAGAUCGUUACGGGCCUGCUGUGCAAUACCACCAUCGGACCGGUGAAGUACUUCCGCGCUGCAUUGCACUGUGAUGGACGAGAUCAUCGCAAGUUCUCCGACUGCUGCACACUUGGGACAGCUGCCUCGCACGAACAGAACGAAAAUGCUUCCGCUGCGCAUCAGAAUAUUUGCCAGCAUUUGAAAGUGGUCGCAGAACGCAUCAGCGGCGCGGAUGGUAUCGAAAUGGGCAGCAAAUGCGGUCAAGAUGCUAUGGAAACGGUAAAAGAGACUUAUCAACAGCUGCGUGAUGUUUACUGCCCGAAGCCAUGAACGGCUGUUCCUAACAUUAACCUGACUACAUCGCACGCCUGAUUUCUUGCAUCGCUCCAUCAAGCUUCUUAUUGAUAUGGAGAAAGACCACUGCAGCUGACUUUUCCACAGAACCAUUGGUCAGGAGCUGCGCCUCAGCAGACCAAACAACAGCAACGCAACUGCGUAAUGCGUACGUGCACGGACUACGCCCAGUUACCAGAUGUGCAUCCACUGGGACAUCUCAUGCCACCGAUCCGGAAUGCCUGGAGAAAGGCUCAGUAGCGCAACAGUCGCUGAAUCCCUGUCCUCCCAUCCGUUCUUGCCAAUGAACAUCCAAAGCCGUACUCCCUUUUCUUCCAGAACACGCCGAACAAGCGAUCCUUUGAUUACAAAAUCCAUGGGAGAUUGGCGGUACUGCGGUCCUUCCACGACCAACGCCACCGCCCGGGUGGCAUGAGAGAUGGUUCGUUUCAGCAUCGUAGUGAGUCUGUAUUCGGUGAAACGGUCAAGUUCAGAAGGCACCGUCCAAUCCCAGGGUGGUUGGACGCGGCUAGGCGGUAUGACAAAGAUGAUAUGCCGAUAACUGCCGAAUUCCUUUAUAACCCGCCUCCAUAACGCGCAGACCCUGCACGCAACCCGGUUAGAGCACCCAAAUCUCUCUUUGGUCCUUAACAAAACACUUACUGGCUUGUCCGCAGUUGAGUUAGCACGUCGAGAUUAAGCAAAACGCCGGCAAGGACCACAAGUGAGAGGUCACCUAUGCGUAACUCUGCGAAUCCUGCAAAUCAAUUUGUUUUAACACAGCUUUUUACCCGGGAAGCAAGACAGCAG